rnacentral:rRNA from 1 species
AUGUCUUCUCACAGGGAAGAAGUGGAGGAACUGCUCUGUAGGUUGGACCUCCAUGAGGAUGACGGAGAUGAGUUCGUGUGGGAGGACGAGGAGGAUCUCCCCAAGGUGCAGGCGAAGUGGCUAGCUAUUGCUAGGGUUCAUACCUCAAAAAGCAUCAGUCCAUCCGCCCUGUAUGCAGACAUGCGGUCUGCGUGGAAUCCGGCGAGGGACGUGCGGUGGCGCCUAAGUGAUACGAAUCUCUUCACGGUACAGUUUGGAUGCCUCGCUGAUUGGAACACGGCGAUGACGAACGGGCCUUGGCUAUUCAGAAAUCAAGCGGUGAUAUUCAAGGAGUAUGAUGGUUACACAAACCCUAGAUCGGUGGUCCUUCAUAGAGUUGCUGUUUGGGCACGAAUCCUUGGUUUGCCGGACAAUUAUCUUAGCGAGCCAGUAAUUAAGGGUAUGUACAGGAAGUUGGGGACGAUAAUGGAGGUUCAGAUUCAGCUACCGGCUGGCUAUGUUGGUGCUUUCGUGAGGGUUAAGGCUAAUCUGGAUGUGAACAAAAAAUUAGAACGCUUUGUGUCAAUAACACGAGGAGGCAAGAAAGACUGGUACAUGGUAAAGUAUGAGAAGAUGCCUAUUUUCUGUAAUCACUGUGGCUUACUUGGGCAUUGGGAUGAAGAGUGCGGCACCGGCGAACAUGAUAUGAGCAAGUUUGAAUGGGGUGACUUUAUUUUAGCAGAUGAGUGGAAAAAUAGAGGGGGUGGAAGAGGUACUGGUAGAGGAGCCGGUAGGGGACGUGGUGGAUCUUCCUUUGGGCGAGGUGCGGGUAGAGGGGAGCAAAGGAGCCAUGAUAUUGUUUAA